GACGAACGCGGGCGGCGUGCCUAAUACAUGCAAGUAGAACGCUGAAGGAGGAGCUUGCUUCUCCGGAUGAGUUGCGAACGGGUGAGUAACGCGUAGGUAACCUGCCUGGUAGCGGGGGAUAACUAUUGGAAACGAUAGCUAAUACCGCAUAACAGUAGAUAUUGCAUGAUAUCUGCUUGAAAGGUGCAAUUGCAUCACUACCAGAUGGACCUGCGUUGUAUUAGCUAGUUGGUGAGGUAACGGCUCACCAAGGCGACGAUACAUAGCCGACCUGAGAGGGUGAUCGGCCACACUGGGACUGAGACACGGCCCAGACUCCUACGGGAGGCAGCAGUAGGGAAUCUUCGGCAAUGGACGGAAGUCUGACCGAGCAACGCCGCGUGAGUGAAGAAGGUUUUCGGAUCGUAAAGCUCUGUUGUAAGAGAAGAACGAGUGUGAGAGUGGAAAGUUCACACUGUGACGGUAUCUUACCAGAAAGGGACGGCUAACUACGUGCCAGCAGCCGCGGUAAUACGUAGGUCCCGAGCGUUGUCCGGAUUUAUUGGGCGUAAAGCGAGCGCAGGCGGUUAGAUAAGUCUGAAGUUAAAGGCUGUGGCUUAACCAUAGUACGCUUUGGAAACUGUUUAACUUGAGUGCAAGAGGGGAGAGUGGAAUUCCAUGUGUAGCGGUGAAAUGCGUAGAUAUAUGGAGGAACACCGGUGGCGAAAGCGGCUCUCUGGCUUGUAACUGACGCUGAGGCUCGAAAGCGUGGGGAGCAAACAGG
rnacentral:rRNA from 1 species